CCCUGUCCAGCCGCCGCUGCUGUCUCCAUUCCCCUCGGGAUCCUCCAGAUCCGAUCGAGCCAACCACCUGCUCGAUCCACUGCCUCCCUCGGUUCCCCACCAACCAUAGCCUCCACCUCCGAGAUCGAUCCAACCAGCAUAGCAGACCACGCCUUCCCUCCUCGAUCCACCCAACCAUCAGCUCCCCAGCUCCCUUGCCAGCCUCCUCGUGCCCGAGCCCCUCGCGCUCGAGCGGGAGAGCUCCGCCCCCGAGCUCGUGCAGUCCAUGGCGCCCGUCUUCGGCCUCCCCGACGCGCCCCUUCCCCCUCUGCCUUGUCCCCAACGCCCGUGCUGCCGAUGACCCUCGCCGGAGCCCGACUGACCGCCGCCAGGGACGCCCAGCCGGCCGCCUACGACCUCCUCUUCCCGCAGCUACUCAGCCACGUCUCCACUCGUCGUCGCAGCAUCUUCGACCAGCCCGCCACCACCUACGAGCGCCAUCACGCCUCCGGUAAACGCCAUGGCCGCCCCUGACCUCCGUCCGCGCCGUCGUUGCCCGGAUCCGGUGCCGGCCAGCCGGAUCCGCCCCAUCUCCACCUCGCCGGUCUUCCCAGCAGCUGCUGCCGCGCCGUUGACCCCGUCCUCGCCGCGCCCCUGUUUCCUCUGGUUCAAAGACAAACAAGCGCGCCGCCCCUGCGUUGACCGCGCCCUGCCUCGCCUCGAUGUGCCUGCGUGGCCCGCAGCCAGCGCCAGGCCCAGCCGCAGCGCCUCUAGGCCCAGCUCGCCCGGCCCAGUGGCCCUCUGGUACAGGUUAUGCAAUGAUCAUGACGCGAGAGCGAUGUUUGCUUGUUUCGGAGUUUUCU